rnacentral:rRNA from 1 species
GAUGAACGCUAGCGGGAGGCUUAACACAUGCAAGUCGAGGGGCAGCAUAAGGUAGCAAUACUUUGAUGGCGACCGGCGCACGGGUGAGUAACGCGUAUGUAACCUGUCCUUAACAGGAGGAUAACCCGGAGAAAUUCGGACUAAUACUGCAUAAGAUUAUGAAUAGGCAUCUAUUAAUAAUUAAAGCUACGGCGGUUAGGGAGGGGCAUGCGUAACAUUAGCUGGUUGGUAGGGUAACGGCCUACCAAGGCAAUGAUGUUUAGGGGACCUGAGAGGGUGACCCCCCACACUGGUACUGAGACACGGACCAGACUCCUACGGGAGGCAGCAGUGAGGAAUAUUGGUCAAUGGGCGGCAGCCUGAACCAGCCAUCCCGCGUGAAGGAAGAAGGAUCUAUGGUUCGUAAACUUCUUUUGCAGGGGAAUAAAGUGCAGGACGUGUCCUGUUUUGUAUGUACCCUGAGAAUAAGGAUCGGCUAACUCCGUG